GACUCGGUGGCGGACGGCCCGCGUCUCCUCCUGCUGCACAUUGCGCGUGGGUACAUCGUCGGAGAAGCCGCCCGUUCGAUUCGGGCCCGAGUCA